GACGAACGCUGGCGGCGUGCCUAAUACAUGCAAGUCGAGCGGAGAGGACAGAAGCUUGCUUCUGUUUCUCUCAGCGGCGGACGGGUGAGUAACACGUGGGCAACCUGCCCUGCAGAUCGGGAUAACUCCGGGAAACCGGUGCUAAUACCGGAUAGUUUGUUUCACCUCCUGGUGAAACACGGAAAGGCGGUUUCGGCUGCCACUGCAGGAUGGGCCCGCGGCGCAUUAGCUAGUUGGUGGGGUAACGGCUCACCAAGGCGACGAUGCGUAGCCGACCUGAGAGGGUGAUCGGCCACACUGGGACUGAGACACGGCCCAGACUCCUACGGGAGGCAGCAGUAGGGAAUCUUCCGCAAUGGACGAAAGUCUGACGGAGCAACGCCGCGUGAGUGAUGAAGGUUUUCGGAUCGUAAAACUCUGUUGUGAGGGAAGAACAAGUGCCACGUAACUACUGGCACCUUGACGGUACCUCACCAGAAAGCCACGGCUAACUACGUGCCAGCCGCCGCCGUAAA
rnacentral:rRNA from 1 species